rnacentral:snoRNA from 14 species
GGCCUACAGUGAUAACAUAGUUCAGCAGACUUUAACUCUGAUGAACAAUCAUGUCUUUUGCUCUUAUCUGAUGUAAAAA